rnacentral:tmRNA from 1 species
GGGGAUGAAAGGAUUUCGACGGGGGUUUUGAGGCGCGAUCAGCGAGCAGCGGCGCGGAACCGCUUGAAAAGCCGCAGUUUAUUUCAAAAUAAACGACAACAACACAGUUUUACAAGCUGCUUAAGUUUUAAGCGGCCGUUCUGACCGGGAGGACCGCGGCCCGGAUCGGGGCGUCAUUGAGCGGUGAACGUGUACGGAGAUCUGCCCCCGCCUCCGUCAUGCAUUCGGGGACUACCGACGGCAGGAGCCUGUUCAUGGGCGCCUGUCCGGGGGAAUCACAAAGCAUGAACUACGCUCGUAGAACGUCACGAGGAGGAGCUUUCGGACGCGGUUUCGAUUACCGCCAUCUCCACCA